GUGGGGAAUUUUGGACAAUGGGCGCAAGCCUGAUCCAGCAAUGCCGCGUGCAGGAAGAAGGCCUUCGGGUUGUAAACUGCUUUUGUACGGAACGAAACGGUCCUGGCUAAUACCUGGGGCUAAUGACGGUACCGUAAGAAUAAGCACCGGCUAACUACGUGCCAGCAGCCGCGGUAAUACGUAGGGUGCGAGCGUUAAUUGGAAUUACUGGGCGUAAAGCGUGCGCAGGCGGUGCUGUAAGACAGGCGUGAAAUCCCCGGGCUCAACCUGGGAAUUGCGCUUGUGACUGCAGUGCUGGAGUGCGGCAGAGGGGGAUGGAAUUCCGCGUGUAGCAGUGAAAUGCGUAGAUAUGCGGAGGAACACCGAUGGCGAAGGCAAUCCCCUGGGCCUGCACUGACGCUCAUGCACGAAAGCGUGGGGAGCAAACAGGAUUAGAUACCCCAGUAGUCC
rnacentral:rRNA from 1 species